AGGAGGGUGUAGAUGUCGAUGCUAUCCGAGAAUGUAGUUGCCAUUGGAGGCUGUUGAGAAGAUUGUGUAGACCUAAACAAAUCUAAUCAGAGUUAUUGUAAUAUAUAUGGAGGUUCAAAUGGACAGUAUCCAUUUUAUGGAGCAAGUGCUGGGGCAGCUGGUGCCUGGUAUGAUUACUGCUGCAGGUGCAGCCACCGGUUUUUAUCCGUAGAUGAACAAGGCUUUGUGAUUUUAGUAAAAUGUUUUAUUUUUGUUGAUUCUCUUUCAUAGGAGCCUGAUGCACUGAUGUGUAGAUUUCAUGGUGUGUAUGAAAAGUUGAUUGAGGUUUUGUAUCGAUUAGUGUAUAAAGAACUUGGAAUCACAAAAGAAGUUCAAGAGUAAGUUAAAUUUGAUGUAUUAGCGGAGAAUAAAUGCUCAUAUGUCAAAUUUAGGGCCACCAUUUUUGUAUAUGUGAUUUGUAGAUGUAACUGUAGGAAAAAAGAACUUAUGUAAAAAAAUAACUGUGUACCCGGCCGCAACGCGGCGGGUACUUUUCUAGUUCAAACAAAUUUAAACAAUUAUAUAA